rnacentral:rRNA from 1 species
CCUACGGGUGGCAGCAGUGGGGAAUAUUGCGCAAUGGGCGAAAGCCUGACGCAGCGACGCCGCGUGAGGGAUGAAGGUCUUCGGAUCGUAAACCUCUGUCAGCAGGGAAGAACGGUCACUGUGCUAAUCAGCAGUGAAUUGACGGUACCUGCAAAGGAAGCACCGGCUAACUCCGUGCCAGCAGCCGCGGUAAUACGGAGGGUGCGAGCGUUAAUCGGAAUUACUGGGCGUAAAGCGCUCGUAGGCGGUACGUCAAGUCAAGGGUGAAAUCCCCGCGCUCAACGUGGGAACUGCCUUUGAAACUGGCAAACUGGAGUGUGUGAGAGGAUAGUGGAAUUCCAGGUGUAGGGGUGAAAUGCGUAGAUAUCUGGAGGAACAUCAGUGGCGAAGGCGACUAUCUGGCACAUAACUGACGCUGAGGAGCGAAAGCGUGGGUAGCAAACAGGAUUAGAUACCCUUGUAGUC